UCACCUGCACACUCACGUUUUUGUUUUUUAGAAAUGGAAAACAAUUUUGUUCAAACAUUUUUUGAUUCCAGAGAGGGGCCACAUGAAUUUCUUUUUCUCAAGCAUGAUAAUCUCAAUAAAAAGGAGGGCUCCCACACAUAAUACACAAACAGAGAAAUGGAAGAGAGAGGAGUAACGAGAGAGGAAAAACGGAAAGGGGAGUGGAGAUCUGAAAAAAAAAAGAAACAAAAAAAACAGAGGGGACGGAGAGAAGAAAGGAGCGGUCACAGCUUCACAAAAAUGGAGUUUGUAAUCUCUUUUUCUUCCUCCAUUAAUGCAGCUUCACAGUAGUAAACAAAGCAGCCCCAAACCCUCUUAUUCUUCAAAAACAAAUAAUAAACUCCAUUAAAAUGCACCAGAUUUCCUCUAUCCCACCACCCAAACACCUUCAUUUUCUGCUUUAGAAAAUCACCACUAUUACAUUAAUUUUUGGCAUCGGUUGGGUUUCAAGUUUUGUUGGCGGCGAGGUUCCCGAUCGAGACGGUAAUUAGCUGUAACUUCGGUCAUCGGUCCAAGUCAUUUCCUAUGUUUCAAGCACCUUUGGCUUUGCUGUAUUCUUCACUGAGUUAUUUUCACUAGUACAAACCAAAAGGUCCAUUUCUCACUUUUAGUUUAAUUCAUGUAUUUAUUGUGCUUUGGUGAAUGUUUUAGUUUGAUUCUUUGAAGUCUCCGUUAUCCUGUCAUAUAUGUGAUUUUAACUUGUUUAUCCAUUUAUGGUAUUCUUGAGUUUAUUAUGUUAAGUUAUUAGAAUUGGUCAGAUCUUAUAUAUUUAGUUGUUGAAGUACAUUUUGUGUUCAAAUGGUGUGUAUAUAUAUGACUGAUGGUAUGAUAAUAUUAACAAUAUCAGAUGUAGUUGUUUUCUAUAUAUAUUUGAACAAAUACUACUAUUGUAUUGUAGAUAUAUAAAAUGUACUAUCAAAUCUACUAUCGAAUAAAAUCCGAUUUCUAUGUUUAUUAUUAAUUCUUUAAAACUUUGAGUAAAGCUCCUAACAAAGCUUUCUGGAUUUGUAUAGUUAUUACGAUUGUUGGACAUUAAUAAUAAAAUUAUUUUUUGCGAUUAAACUCUUAUGUUGUGAAAAUCCUACUCGGUAAUCUCUCUCUUUUAUUCUAAAAACUUGUAUAAUUACCAUCUUAUCUAAAUUAUGAACUGAGAUUACCCCUUUACUACUUUUUUUUAAUCCACUCUGUUCAUCUCUUCUUCUCAAUCUUUUAAAGUUUUUAACACUUUUCUUAACUCUUAUUUCUUUAACCUCACCCCGGCCAUGGUUAAACACUUAUACCCUUCUUAAUUGUUUUCAGGUUUUACUUAACCAGUUUCUCCUAGGAAUUUACAGGUUAAUCCAUCAUAAUUGUUAAAAAAUUGGGAAGCUAACCAUAUACUAAGAGUGAUAUUUAAUAAUCGAUCAUAUGAACAUGAAACAUAAAACUAUACAGAAUAACAAAAAAAAAUUAAAAUAAACAGUGGUAAUAUCUAGCAGGAACAUAAUUUAAAUAAAAGAUGAGUAACUUACAUGCUUAUAGGAGAGAGAUUUCUCUUUCGGGAAACCCGAAAAAGUCUACUGAGCUUUGAAAAUUAAAAACGAUCACACAUAAGCAUAAGGCCUUAUUUAUUUUACAAGCUUAAAGGAGGAACUACUAAAGUAUUCAUAAGGAAAUAUUUUACAAAGUGUUUUGGAAAGGGGGUUGAUGAUGAAAAGGUUGGUUGGAUGGGUUUUCUUCAGAGUGUUUUUCUUCUUUUCGAUCUUGUUUUUUUUCUGCUUUCUUCUCCUUUUUAUAGCUAAAUUUGGGAACGGAUUCUAAACUCUUCUGAAAUCUAUCUUGUCCAGCCUUGCAGGGUACUUCAUUGGGCCCCAUCUUCACAUGGCUUGGUCGGAGAUUCCUUCCGUGUUUGUAACUUUUUCUUCCACUCAAAAUUUUAACUUGUCUUUUAGCACAACUAACAUUACCUCUUGUCACAUCUUCUUUACUUUAUGUCACUUGUCACUUUUGUCUUUUAGCACAGCUAGCAUUUCUUCCUGUUACCUCUUCUUUUCUUGUUUUUCUCGUUGGUAUGCUAUCAUUAUUGAUUUGUAUACCAGCCUUGUUUCUUUUGUCUUUAGUGCUCUUAACUGGGACUUUGUUUUUAGGUGUCUAAAUUAUGUAUAGCUAUUGAAUCGAAACUCAUUUCUGACUCAUCUUCAUAUGGAUCUUGAGCAUCUUGAUAAUUUAGGUUGUCUUCAUAGUUAUCAUCUUCUCUUGAACUUUGGGUUCUUUCUGGAUUUGGACGUGGAUUUGGACUUGGACUUGGAUUCUUAACCAUGUGUUUGUCUUGUUCUUCCUUUUCUUGAAAAAAAUUUUCUAAUGUUUGUUUGAUUAUAUUUUCUAUUUUUUCAUUUUUUUUUCUUUUUUGAAAUUAUACUUUUCUUUUUUUAACAUUU
rnacentral:lncRNA from 1 species